UUUCCAGUAGGGUUUCUUUGGAAGAAGUAUUCAAGAGGCUUAACAGCAUCUGCUGUCAGAAACCCUCCCGCUGAUUUGGAAGAAUACCCUGCAAACCAGGAUCCACCCCACUGGCACUUAGUACAGGUGAUUGUAGCAGCCUCUUUAUGGGUCAGAGCCGCCUACAGGACCAGAAGCUUCAUGAAGCCAGCACCCCAACUUCCAACACCAGCGUCCGCAAUGCCCAACAGAGAUCCCAGGUGAGGAAGCUGAACUGACUUUGGUGACAUAUAUUCCCCAAGAUCUGACAGCUGAUGAGUGACAGAGCACGUAUUCAAACCCAGAGAUGUGAAUUCGCUAUGCUGCCUAGGCUGGUCUUGAACUCCUGACUUCAAGUAAUCCUCCCACCUUCGCUUGCCAAAGUGCUGGGAUUAUAGGCGUGAACUACUGCUCCCAGCUGAGAGCUCACUUUUGUUUGCUAGUGGUGUUCUUAGUAUCUUUUCAUAUUUGAGGUUUUGGUGGUAGUGCUGAAGUAUUGUACUCACCAUCCAAGGUUUACAGGACUUUUGUUUUACUAUGGAACAGAUGGAAUUGUUUAGUUCUGCAUCUUUGCAAAUAUACAAAAUGUGCCUACCAGGACUCUGCUUUAUAUCCAUUGAAAGCAAGAAGUAAUACAGUAAAACUUUGCCUGGCUAGAGGCUUUGAAAGAAUGGACUAUUCUGAUUUAAUUGUAUUAACUUGGAAGUAUGAAGGUGAAAAAAAUUAAAAACUUAAAUUUCCUGUUGAAUGCAAUUUGAAAAUAUAGCCAUUGAUUCCACUUUUAUUCUCCAGUAAGUCUGGACAUUCUGAUAUACCUGGUGUUUUAUUAUAGAACUCCUAGUGUGCCUGAAGAUCAUUUUCUACAACUUUAAGUGUAAGAGGAUGUAAAUGGUAUUGUAUGAGAUCAGGCUGGAUGAGAACUGAUACUUG
rnacentral:lncRNA from 10 species